rnacentral:rRNA from 1 species
AUUGAACGCUGGCGGCAUGCCUUACACAUGCAAGUCGAACAGUAACAGGUCUUCGGAUGCUGACGAGUGGCGAACGGGUGAGUAAUACAUCGGAACGUGCCUAGUAGUGGGGGAUAACUACUCGAAAGAGUGGCUAAUACCGCAUGAGAUCUACGGAUGAAAGCAGGGGAUCGCAAGACCUUGUGCUACUAGAGCGGCCGAUGGCAGAUUAGGUAGUUGGUGGGAUAAAAGCUUACCAAGCCGACGAUCUGUAGCUGGUCUGAGAGGACGAUCAGCCACACUGGGACUGAGACACGGCCCAGACUCCUACGGGAGGCAGCAGUGGGGAAUUUUGGACAAUGGGCGCAAGCCUGAUCCAGCAAUGCCGCGUGCAGGAUGAAGGCCUUCGGGUUGUAAACUGCUUUUGUACGGAACGAAAAGCCCUGGGUUAAUACCCCGGGGUCAUGACGGUACCGUAAGAAUAAGCACCGGCUGACUACGUGCCAGCCGCCGCCGUAAGAC